rnacentral:tRNA from 1 species
GGAAGUGUGAUGUAGUGGUUUGAGCACUGGACUAUGACUCUGGAGACCAGGGUUUGAAUCCCUGCUCAGCUA